GAAUAUGCUUAGAUUGAAUAUG
rnacentral:siRNA from 1 species